CAGGUGUACCAGUUCAACUUUGUCUCAAUCUUGUCUCAAUUUUCUUAACUUUUGAAAAAUGUUUACACUCAUAAAAUCACUUCUGAUUGUGUGCAGCGUUUCGUUGAUCAUUUUACAGCUUUCUCGAGGAACAGAAGGAGCAGAUCAAAGAUAUUCGAUGGGAUUGAAUGCUCAAACUACAAGAAAAUCGUCGGGGAGCAACCCUUCAACGACGAGGAAAUCCUUAGGAUCGGAUCCAUGUGCCCGAGCUCCUGCAGUUGUGUGUAGUUCAGUGGAGAUGGCAAGAAGAUGCAAUUUCGAACAAAAUUGUGAAGAGCAAAAACUUGGAUAUGCUGCUACAAAGAAUUAAUUUAAUAUGUUUAUUUUUGAAUCUGGAAGUCUUUUUCGUCGAUAUAUGAGAAUAAAUCAAUGCAUAUAAAUUCCAA